rnacentral:rRNA from 1 species
CCUACGGGUGGCAGCAGUGAGGAAUAUUGGUCAAUGGACGAGAGUCUGAACCAGCCAAGUAGCGUGAAGGAUGACUGCCCUAUGGGUUGUAAACUUCUUUUAUAAAGGAAUAAAACGAGGCACGUGUGCCUUUUUGCAUGUACUUUAUGAAUAAGGAUCGGCUAAAUCCGUGCCAGCAACCGCGGUAAUACGGAGGAUACGAGCGUUAUCCGGAUUUGUUGGGUUUAAAGGGAGCGUAGAUGGGUUGUUAAGUCAGUUGUGAAAGUUUGCGGCUCAACCGUAAAAUUGCAAUUGAUACUGGCAGUCUUGAGUACAGGUGAGGUAGGCGGAAUUCGUGGUGUAGCCGUGAAAUGCUUAGAUAUCACGAAGAACCCCGAUUGCGAAGGCAGCUUACUAAACUGUGACUGACAUUGAUGCUCGAAAGUGUGGGUAUCAAACAGGAUUAGAUACCCUUGUAGUC